rnacentral:lncRNA from 1 species
GGAGAGUAAUCACUAAGAGAUGCUGCCUCAAUGGUGGUGGUCAGCCCUUAAAUGAGGUCUUAGAGGAGGUGGAGUCGAGCUCCAUCCCUUCCAGGAGCACAGCUAGAUUACUCUCACCUGUGCUCCCACAGCUGACCCAACACUUGCCUCAGCUGAUUAAUCAGAGAUUCAGGCUGUGAUUUCCCAUACACCUAGGGAGGUGAAACUGUGAACUGCCAGUCUGUCCUGCUAAUAGGGCCCAUACACUCCGCUUUGCUCGAGAGCUGCUUUUAAACUUGGGUGCUUGCCCUGGCUCCUUGGGAUCUGCAGCCUGCUGCAGUAGAAGAGCUAUGUACUAAUAAGUUCCCAUGAAUAUGCCUUGCUGAAUCAGAAGAGCAGCUCAUCUGCAGCAGGGAGAGCAGGAGGCACUUCUGUUGAAGACUAAAAAGCACAAGCCUACCUCCACUCCAGUCUGUGGGACACAGACUCCUGUAAGGCAUCCUCAGGCAUACAGUUUAAGAGGGUCAGUCACAGGUUGUGCUCAAUGGGCAAACUUAACCACACCUUCAAUAUCUGCAUCACUUGAAUCUAUGAAACAGAUUGAAAGAACUGCAAGAACAUUUGGUAUCUUGACAUUUCAGGUACUUUUAUCCAAAUCCAGGAAGAACAAGAACAUACAACACUGAAAAAUUAUAAUAAAAGUACACGACCAUUUUCA